rfam:Vibrio azureus NBRC 104587 DNA, contig: VAZ01S083.
UCCUCCUUAGCUCAGUUGGUAGAGCGACGGACUGUUAAUCCGCAGGUCGCUGGUUCGAGCCCAGCAGGAGGAG